UACAGUCAUAUCAUGUUGAAACAUCAGUUCUCGUACGAUCACCAAAGUUAAGCAAUAUCAAGCCUUGUCAGUACCUAGAUAGGUGACCACUUGGGAAUACCAAGUGUUGUA